AUUGAACGCUGGCGGCAGGCCUAACACAUGCAAGUCGAGCGAGCGGCGGACGGGUGAGUAAUGCCUAGGAAUAUGCCUGGUAGUGGGGGAUAACUACUGGAAACGGUAGCUAAUACCGCAUACCAUCGGAUGUGCCCAUAUGGGAUUAGCUAGUAGGUGGGGUAACGGCUCACCUAGGAGACGAUCCCUAGCUGGUCUGAGAGGAUGACCAGCCACACUGGAACUUAGACACGGUCCAGACGCGUACGGGAGGCAGCAGUGGGGAAUAGUGCACAAUGGGCGGAAGCCUGAUGCAGCCAUGCCGCGUGUAUGAAGAAGGCCUUCGGGUUGUAAAGUACGUUCAGCGGGGAGGUGUUACCCGCAGAAGAAGCACCGGCUAACUCCGUGCCAGCAGCCGCGGUAAUAC
rnacentral:rRNA from 1 species